CUAUCGGUUCCUGCUGUUUUAACAGAGCUCAGAUCCUCCAUGGCAGUAUCGUGGCUUCAGCGCGUCUGCCUCUUGAUGGCGCUGUUCGUUCUGGUGGCUGGUGAACCACAGGUCCUGUGCGGGGCUGAUCUGGUGGACGCUAUUCAGUUUGUCUGUGGAGAACGAAGGGUGUACCCUAGCAGUCGCAAAAAUGACGCUGCGACUCAGAGCCAGAGGAGACAAAAGCGGAAAGAAAUUGUGGACACGUGCUGCCACAGAGAAUGUUCUUUGGAAAUCCUGGAGCAAUGGUGCAAACUAUAGCCAAGAAAGCGCCAGGAGCCCUCGUGUUAGCAUGAGCUUAGCAUGAAGUCGCUCGGUUUACGUUGAAUCCUAAAGCUACACUAUGUAACUUUUCUAGUGAAUAGGCUGCAACUUCCUCGACUUGAUGAAAAUAUGAAAUUAAUCAGAUUUAUAUAGAGGUUUUCCACCUUUAAGACAUUUAUGGAGCUGGAAUCGCACCACCAACCUGCGAACAAAGGGAUCCGGCCGCCCUGACCGCCUGAAAUGUCCCACAGUGACACGGCAUUACGUGUAAACUGAGCUGUUCCCAUGGAGACGAGCAGAUGCAUGUUUUUCAAGGUAAAAACGUGCAAUGGAAUAAAAGCAAGUUCGAUCGGUUUAAUGUAACACCACGGAACAUUCCAGGCAAAACAUGACACGACCAUGAUGAUAUUUGGAAAAGUUACAUUGUUAAACUUUAAAUAAAACUGGAAAAGUAUUGAUUU